rnacentral:rRNA from 1 species
CUACGGGUGGCUCCAGUAGGGAAUAUUGGACAAUGGGCGAAAGCCUGAUCCAGCAACACCGCGUGCACGAUGACGGCCUUCGGGUUGUAAAGUGCUUUUAGAGGAGAUGAGAAAGGACAGUAUCCUCUGAAUAAGCCUCGGCGAACUACGUGCCAGCAGCCGCGGUAAAACGUAGGAGGCAAGCGUUAUCCGGAUUUAUUGGGCGUAAAGCGCGUGCAGGCGGUCUAGCAAGUUGGAUGUGAAAGCUCCCGGCUCAACUGGGAGAGGUCGUUCAAUACUGUUAGACUAGAGAAUAGGAGGGGAGGUGGAAUUCCGGGUGUAGUGGUGAAAUGCGUAGAUAUCCGGAGGAACACCAGUGGCGAAAGCGGCCUCCUGGACUAUUUCUGACGCUAAGACGCGAAAGCUAGGGUAGCAAACGGGAUUAGAUACCCCAGUAGUC